rnacentral:rRNA from 1 species
AACGAACGCUGGCGGCAUGCCUAACACAUGCAAGUCGAACGAGACCCUCGGGUCUAGUGGCGCACGGGUGCGUAACGCGUGGGAACCUGCCCUUAGGUUCGGAAUAACUCCCCGAAAGGGGUGCUAAUACCGGAUAAUGUCUUCGGACCAAAGAUUUAUCGCCUUUGGAUGGGCCCGCGUUGGAUUAGCUAGUUGGUAGGGUAAAAGCCUACCAAGGCGACGAUCCAUAGCUGGUCUGAGAGGAUGACUAGCCACACUGGGAAUGAGACACGGCCCACACUCCUACGGGAGGCAGCAGUGGGGAAUAUUGGACAAUGGGCGAAAGCGUGAUCCAGCAAUGCCGCGUGAGUGAUGAAGGCCUUAGGGUUGUAAAGCUCUUUUACCCGGGAUGAUAAUGACAGUACCGGGAGAAUAAGCUCCGGCUAACUACGUG